GACGAACGCUGGCGGCAUGCCUAAUACAUGCAAGUCGAGCGAACAGAUGAAGUGCUUGCACUUCUGACGUUAGCGGCGAACGGGUGAGUAACACGUAAGGAAUCUACCUAUAAGCGGGGGAUAACAUUCGGAAACGGGUGCUAAUACCGCAUAAUAUCUUCUUCUGCAUGGAAGAAGAUUGAAAGACGGCUCUGCUGUCACUUAUAGAUGACCUUGCGGUGCAUUAGUUAGUUGGUGGGGUAACGGCCUACCAAGACGAUGAUGCAUAGCCGACCUGGGAGGGUGAUCGGCCCCAUUGGGACUGAGACACGGCCCAAACUCCUACGGGAGGCAGCAGUAGGGAAUCUUCCGCAAUGGGCGAAAGCCUGACGGAGCAAUGCCGCGUGAGUGAAGAAGGCCUUCGGGUCGUAAAACUCUGUUAUAAGAGAAGAACAAAUUGUAGAGUAACUGCUACAGUCUUGACGGUAUCUUAUCAGAAAGCCACGGCUAACUACGUGCCAGCAGCCGCGGUAA
rnacentral:rRNA from 1 species